rnacentral:rRNA from 1 species
GAAUUCACUAGUGAUUCAGGCCUAACACAUGCAAGUCGAACGGUCCUUCGGGAUAGUGGCGGACGGGUGAGUGACACGUGGGAACGUACCCUUAGGUUCGGAACAACACAGGGAAACUUGUGCUAAUACCGGAUAAGCCCUUCGGGGGAAAGAUUUAUCGCCUUUGGAGCGGCCCGCGUCUGAUUAGCUUGUUGGUGAGGUAAUGGCUCACCAAGGCUGCGAUCAGUAGCUGGUCUGAGAGGAUGGCCAGCCACACUGGGACUGAGACACGGCCCAGACUCCUACGGGAGGCAGCAGUGGGGAAUCUUGCACGGUGGGCGAAAGC